rnacentral:rRNA from 1 species
UACGGAGGAUCCAAGCGUUAUCCGGAUUUAUUGGGUUUAAAGGGAGCGUAGGUUGACAUAUAAGUCAGCUGUGAAAGUUUACGGCUCAACCGUGAAAUUGCAGUUGAUACUGUAUGUCUUGAGUGUACAAGAGGUGGGCGGAAUUCGUGGUGUAGCGGUGAAAUGCUUAGAUAUCACGAAGAACUCCAAUUGCGAAGGCAGCUCACUGGGGUACAACUGACACUGAGGCUCGAAAGUGUGGGUAUCAAACAGGAUUAGAUACCCUGGUAGUCCACACAGUAAACGAUGAAUACUCGCUGUUUGCGAUAUACAGUAAGCGGCCAAGCGAAAGCAUUAAGUAUUCCACCUGGGGAGUACGCCGGCAACGGUGAAACUCAAAGGAAUUGACGGGGGCCCGCACAAGCGGAGGAACAUGUGGUUUAAUUCGAUGAUACGCGAGGAACCUUACCCGGGCUUGAAUUGCAGAGGAACAUAGUUGAAAGAUUAUGGCCGCAAGGUCUCUGUGAAGGUGCUGCAUGGUUGUCGUCAGCUCGUGCCGUGGGGUGUCGGCUUAAGUGCCAUAACGAGCGCAACCCUUAUCAUUAGUUACUAACAGGUCAUGCUGAGGACUCUAGUGAGACUGCCGUCGUAAGAUGCGAGGAAGGUGGGGAUGACGUCAAAUCAGCACGGCCCUUACGUCCGGGGCUACACACGUGUUACAAUGGGGGGUACAGAGGGCAGCUACCGGGCGACCGGAUGCCAAUCCCAAAAACCUCUCUCAGUUCGGAUCGAAGUCUGCAACCCGACUUCGUGAAGCUGGAUUCGCUAGUAAUCGCGCAUCAGCCACGGCGCGGUGAAUACGUUCCCGGGCCU